rnacentral:misc_RNA from 1 species
GCCUUUCUGACACUUUUCCCUUCAACCAAAUAAUCACAUAUGAGCCCUCACGCUCGGAAAACUAGAUGAGCAAGACCGAAAUGAACAAAACAACAUUCAGAUAAACAAAACAAAUUUCCAAAUAAACUCAAACCGUAAAUGCCACUCGACAUCCUUGGGAUGAAAUUUACAACCAUUCUUCCUUCUUUUCUCCGUAUAGUUACUGGGAAGUCGUCUCUCAAAUCAAGUGCAUUCUCAACUAUUUUCAAGUCGCAAAUAGUAAGAGGAUGGGGCGGCUGUUAUGAGGUGUUGGGAAGAUGCUGGUGGGAUGGGUUAGAGAUAGGGCUGAG